GGUGCUUCUGUUAUUUCACAGAACAUGAAAUUUCAGUAACCAAAAUGUUGCCAGCUGAUGGAAAUCUUCUUCAUGUGAAAUUAGGUCUUUGCAGGUGUCUGAAUGUACAAUUUGCCAGGCCAGCCAGCAAAUUAUCAAAAAGGAGGUGGAGUAAACCCCUAUAAAGUUAAACAUAUUUUAGAUCAACAUUUUCUUCCACAGCUUUGCUCUGAGUCUUAGGGUCACAGAGGAAGCUCUAAAAACAUGUAAAUUGAAAUAUAAUAGAAAGGUCAACUACUUCUGCUACACAACAGCAUGUUAACAUAGUAACAUUGAGGUUGGCAUUUUUUUUUUAUUUACACCCAAUAAUUAAUUCAAUUGUCCCCAGGGUUGCUGCUCCUAAUCUAAUGUUCUUUUUUAUGCUUUUGAGCUUGUAGGCAUGGAUCUGGUCGGGAAAUUGACAAAAGCAAUAAAAAAAACGACAAUCAAUACAUUUGUGUUAUGAUUGAUUAUUUUACAAAAUGGCCACAGGCCUAUCCUUUGUUACCUCUGCUGCAUUUUUUGUUUUCAGAGUGUAUCAUAAAAUUGUUCUAUCUAUUUGAGGCACCAAAGAGGAUACUAACCAACCAAGGGACAGAAUUUGUGAAUGAGGUAAAUAUGGAAACCUUGACAACUAUUUGACAGAAUCAAUUUAACCUUUAAACUUUAAAAUCCUGCACCUUCUGAACAAAAUAUUUAAUCCAAACAAUGUUUUACUGUUUAAGACUUCUGUGUACUCUACAUUUACAGAUUAACAAGAGCAUGUGUGCCAAACUGGGGGUCCAAGUGGUGAGUCUUUGUGCUCCCUAUCAUCCCCAAACAAACCGUUUGGUGGAGAGGAUGAAUGGGACCAUCCAAAGGUGAGUAAGAUAUAGGUCCUAAAUUGUCAGGGGUCAAUCUAUUCAUUUAAUAUGACCUAUGUGGUCUCCAGUUAUAAUGAGGGUUUUUUUCGACAAAUUUAAAUUUGUUUAUUUUUUUCAGGGCUCUCGGCAAACUAGUGGACAACAAGCCAGAAUCAUGGGAUGAGUAUUUGGAUGCUGUAAUGUUUGGGCUCCGAACAAAAAAAAAACAAACAACAAAUAAAACAUCAUAGGGGAGAGUGGGGUAAUGUGAGACAUCGGGUAAUGUGAGACACCCCUUGUAUCUAUGAAACGGAACACAUUUGUGUUUAUGUGACCAUUAUUUUUUCAAGCCUCUCCCAUUUCCCAUCCGCCAUGAAGGAGAGG